GAAGAUUCAGAAGGCAAAGGAAAAAUUAGCUUCAAAGAGCUGAAUGUAGAGACCCUGGAGUCUGUCACUUCUAUUAUGUUUUAAGAUAACUUAGCUUUGAUGACGAUGAAUAUGUGUGAAAGAACUUGAUGAAAUGCAAGUACUAGAUUUCAUUCAGAAUUUAAGCUCUAGUAUGGUUUUGCAAACUCCUUUUUGGAACUAGUGCCAACUGACUGGAUGAGGUUGUUUCCUCUUUCCGGUAAAAUGAUACUUUAAUGCAUGAUUACUCCAG
rnacentral:misc_RNA from 1 species